CCUACGGGAGGCAGCAGUGAGGAAUAUUGGGCAAUGGGCGAGAGCCUGAACCAGCCAAGUCGCGUGAAGGAUGACUGUCUUAUGGAUUGUAAACUUCUUUUGUAGGGGAAUAAAGACUGGCACGUGUGCUGGAGUGAAUGUACCCUACGAAUAAGCAUCGGCUAACUCCGUGCCAGCAGCCGCGGUAAUACGGAGGAUGCGAGCGUUAUCCGGAUUUAUUGGGUUUAAAGGGUGCGUAGGCGGCCUGUUAAGUCAGCGGUGAAAUCUAGGGGCUUAACUCCUAAAUUGCCAUUGAUACUGGUUGGCUUGAGUGUAGAUGAGGUAGGCGGAAUGCGGGGUGGAGCGGUGGAAUGCAUAGAUAUCACGCAGAACUCCAAUUGCGAAGGCAGCUUACUAAGGUACAACUGACGCUGAAGCACGAAAGCGUGGGUAUCAAACAGGAUUAGAUACCCGUGUAGUC
rnacentral:rRNA from 1 species